rnacentral:lncRNA from 1 species
AGUAACCCCUGCCACGUCCCACAAUGCCUCGCUCAGGUACUGCGCCCGCGAUUUCUACGAGCGGCUGCCGGAGCUGCGCACGGCCGUGGAUCAGCUGAGCAGCGGCUUCUUCAGCCCGCGCCAGCCCGACCUCUUCCGGGACAUCGUCAACAUGCUCAUGAACCACGACCGGUUUAAGGUCUUCGCCGACUACGAAGCGUACGUGAAAUGCCAGGAGCGCGUCAGCGAGCUGUACAAGGUGUGCCCACUGUAGGGUUCCCGAUCCCAUUCUGGGUUCCCCGACCCCACUGUUUUUCCCACCCCAUAGCGCCACCCCCUCUCCCCCCUUUUUGGGACAUUUUGGGUCGCUGACCCCAAAAAAUCCCCCUUAGGUUUAAGGUCUUCGCCGACUACGAAGCGUACGUGAAAUGCCAGGAGCGCGUCAGCGAGCUGUACAAGGACUCCCGACAGUGGACCCGCACGGUGAUCCGGAACAUCGCGGCGGCCGGGAAAUUCUCCAGCGACCGAACUAUCGCGCAGUACGCCCGCGAGAUCUGGGGCACGGAGCCCACCCGCCACCGCAUCCCCGCCCCCGACGAGCCUCGCCACUGACCGCCCCACAGCGCCCCCUAGCGCCCUACAGCGCCCCAUGUCAACCCAUAGCGCCCCAUAGCGCCUCAUGUCACUCCAUAGCACCCUGCGGCGCCACGUCACCCCAUAGCACCCCAUAGCGCCCCAUAGCACCCUACAGCACCCCAUGUCACCCCGUAGCGCCCCAUGUCACCCCACAGCGCCUCAUAUCUCCCCAUAGCACCCCACCCCAUAGCACCCUACGGCGCCCCAUGUAACCCUAUAGCGCCUCAUGUCUCCCCAUAGCGCCCUACGGCGCCCCAUGUCACCCCAUAGCGCCUCAUGUCUCCCCACAGCGCCUCAUGUCACCCCAUAGCACCCUACGGCGCCACAUGUCACCCCAUAGCACCCCAUAGUGCCCCAUAGCACCUCGUGUCACCCCAUAGCGCCCCAUAGCCCCCUACGAUGCCCCAUGUCACCCCAUCACGCUCCAUAGCGC